UACAGGCUUAACACAUGCAAGUCGAGGGGCAGCAUGGUCUUAGCUUGCUAAGGCCGAUGGCGACCGGCGCACGGGUGAGUAACACGUAUCCAACCUGCCGUCUACUCUUGGACAGCCUUCUGAAAGGAAGAUUAAUACAAGAUGGCAUCAUGAGUCCACAUGUUCACAUGAUUAAAGGUAUUCCGGUAGACGAUGGGGAUGCGUUCCAUUAGAUAGUAGGCGGGGUAACGGCCCACCUAGUCUUCGAUGGAUAGGGGUUCUGAGAGGAAGGUCCCCCACAUUGGAACUGAGACACGGUCCAAACUCCUACGGGAGGCAGCAGUGAGGAAUAUUGGUCAAUGGGCGAGAGCCUGAACCAGCCAAGUAGCGUGAAGGAUGACUGCCCUAUGGGUUGUAAACUUCUUUUAUAAAGGAAUAAAGUCGGGUAUGCAUACCCGUUUGCAUGUACUUUAUGAAUAAGGAUCGGCUAACUCCGUGCCAGCAGCCGCGGUAAUACGGAGGAUCCGAGCGUUAUCCGGAUUUAUUGGGUUUAAAGGGAGCGUAGAUGGAUGUUUAAGUCAGUUGUGAAAGUUUGCGGCUCAACCGUAAAAUUGCAGUUGAUACUGGAUAUCUUGAGUGCAGUUGAGGCAGGCGGAAUUCGUGGUGUAGCGGUGAAAUGCUUAGAUAUCACGAAGAACUCCGAUUGCGAAGGCAGCCUGCUAAGCUGCAACUGACAUUGAGGCUCGAAAGUGUGGGUAUCAAACAGGAUUAGAUACCCUGGUAGUCCACACGGUAAACGAUGAAUACUCGCUGUUUGCGAUAUACGGCAAGCGGCCAAGCGAAAGCGUUAAGUAUUCCACCUGGGGAGUACGCCGGCAACGGUGAAACUCAAAGGAAUUGACGGGGGCCCGCACAAGCGGAGGAACAUGUGGUUUAAUUCGAUGAUACGCGAGGAACCUUACCCGGGCUUAAAUUGCAGAUGAAUUACGGUGAAAGCCGUAAGCCGCAAGGCAUCUGUGAAGGUGCUGCAUGGUUGUCGUCAGCUCGUGCCGUGAGGUGUCGGCUUAAGUGCCAUAACGAGCGCAACCCUUGUUGUCAGUUACUAACAGGUUCCGCUGAGGACUCUGACAAGACUGCCAUCGUAAGAUGUGAGGAAGGUGGGGAUGACGUCAAAUCAGCACGGCCCUUACGUCCGGGGCUACACACGUGUUACAAUGGGGGGUACAGAGGGCCGCUACCACGCGAGUGGAUGCCAAUCCCCAAAACCUCUCUCAGUUCGGACUGGAGUCUGCAACCCGACUCCACGAAGCUGGAUUCGCUAGUAAUCGCGCAUCAGCCACGGCGCGGUGAAUACGUUCCCGGGCCUUGUACACACCGCCCGUCAAGCCAUGGGAGCCGGGGGUACCUGAAGUGCGUAACCGCGAGGAGCGCCCUAGGGUAAAACUGGUGACUGGGGCUAAGA
rnacentral:rRNA from 1 species